rnacentral:rRNA from 1 species
UAGGGAAUAUUGGGCAAUGGAGGCAACUCUGACCCAGCCAUGCCGCGUGAAGGAUGAAGGCCUUCUGGGUUGUAAACUUCUUUUAUCUAGGAAGAAAAUACUCUUGCGAGAGGAACUGACGGUACUAGAUGAAUAAGCACCGGCUAACUCCGUGCCAGCAGCCGCGGUAAUACGGAGGGUGCAAGCGUUGUCCGGAUUUAUUGGGUUUAAAGGGUGCGUAGGCGGCUUGAUAAGUCCGUGGUGAAAGCCAACAGCUCAACUGUUGAACUGCCAUGGAUACUGUGAGGCUUGAGUACAGACGAGGUAGGCGGAAUGGAUCGUGUAGCGGUGAAAUGCAUAGAUACGAUCCAGAACUCCGAUUGCGAAGGCAGCUUACUAGGCUGUA